GAUGAAGAACGUAGCGAAAUGCGAUACUUGGUGUGAAUUGCAGAAUCCCGUGAACCAUCGAGUCUUUGAACGCAAGUUGCGCCCGAAGCCACUAGGCCGAGGGCACGCCUGCCUGGGCGUCACACGCCGUUGCCCCCCCAUCUACUCCUUCGGGAUUGCGGGGGGGCGGAUGAUGGCCUCCCGUGCGCCUAGCCGCGCGGUUGGCAUAAAUACCAAGUCCUCGGCGACGCACGCCACGACAAUCGGUGGUUGCGAAACCUCGGUUGCCCGUCGUGUGCGUUCGUCGCGCAUCGAGGGCUCGAAAAAAUGCUCGGCUCCGGCUGGGCUUUCAACGCGACCCCAGGUCAGGCGGGGUUACCCGCUGAAUUUAAGCAUAUCAAUAAGCGGAGA
rnacentral:misc_RNA from 1 species